rnacentral:lncRNA from 1 species
AUGAUCUUUAAAUACACACUAUGGUCUCCAGACCCAGAAGGGAGGAUCUUCAUCAAAAGCACUGGGGCUUCAAAACCAGGAUCAUCUGAAAGCAAAAGAUUUCACUACAGAACAGAGAACAUUAAAAAGUCCCAUUGCCUCUUGUGUGCUGACAAACUGAAAUCUCAUGCACUUGAAUUUUGAAGACAGAGAAGCAGCGGAUGACACUGGAAGAAAUGUAACUGUACUUUUAAAUUCUGAUGUCUUUGCACUGAGAAGGAAGUAAAAAAGAGAGAUUGUCUUUCCAGUGGUGAUACUUCAAAGAGGCAGUGCAAAUCAUAAUCAAGAUGUUCAAAUUGUUGUUAUCAAUAAGUACAAAAGAAUCAACUGCAAUUUGAGGGAGAAAAUAGG